rnacentral:rRNA from 1 species
UUGCUGGUGGGAGGGGAUCGGGGCCGCAGAGACCAGGGGGAAGCGACUGUUUACUAAAAACACAGGUCCGUGCGAAGUCGCAAGACGAUGUAUACGGACUGACUCCUGCCCGGUGCUGGAAGGUUAAGAGGACCGGUUAGCCGUAAGGCGAAGCUGAGAAUUUAAGCCCCAGUAAACGGCGGUGGUAACUAUAACCAUCCUAAGGUAGCGAAAUUCCUUGUCGGGUAAGUUCCGACCUGCACGAAUGGAGUAACGACUUCCCCGCUGUCUCAACCAUAAACUCGGCGAAAUUGCAGUACGAGUAAAGAUGCUCGUUACGCGCAGCAGGACGGAAAGACCCCGAGACCUUUACUAUAGUUUGGUAUUGGUGUUCGGAGUGGCUUGUGUAGGAUAGGUGGGAGACGUUGAAGCCCGGACGCCAGUUCGGGUGGAGUCAUCGUUGAAAUACCACUCUGGUCACUUUGGACAUCUAACUUCGGCCCGUAAUCCGGGUCAGGGACAGUGCCUGAUGGGUAGUUUAACUGGGGCGGUUGCCUCCUAAAAAGUAACGGAGGCGCCCAAAGGUUCCCUCAGCCUGGUUGGCAAUCAGGUGUCGAGUGUAAGUGCACAAGGGAGCUUGACUGUGAGAGAGACAUCUCGAGCAGGGACGAAAGUCGGGACUAGUGAUCCGGCGGUACAUUGUGGAAUGGCCGUCGCUCAACGGAUAAAAGGUACCUCGGGGAUAACAGGCUGAUCUUGCCCAAGAGUCCAUAUCGACGGCAUGGUUUGGCACCUCGAUGUCGGCUCGUCGCAUCCUGGGGCUGGAGUAGGUCCCAAGGGUUGGGCUGUUCGCCCAUUAAAGCGGUACGCGAGCUGGGUUUAGAACGUCGUGAGACAGUUCGGUCCCUAUCCGCUGCGCGCGCAGGAAAUUUGAGAAGGGCUGUCCUUAGUACGAGAGGACCGGGACGGACGAACCUCUGGUGUGUCAGUUGUACUGCCAAGUGCACCGCUGAUUAGCUACGUUCGGAUGGGAUAACCGCUGAAAGCAUCUAAGCGGGAAGCUCGCUUCAAGAUGAGAUUUCCAUACAC